rnacentral:rRNA from 1 species
AUUGAACGCUGGCGGCGGGACUGGCAGAAAUAACGUAUGCCAGCGGCGGACGGGUGAGUAAUGUAUGGGGACUGCCCGAUAGAGGGGGAUAACUACUGGAAACGGUGGCUAAUACCGCAUACUAUCGGAUAACCCAUAUGGGAUUAGCUAGUAGGUGGGGUAAAGGCUCACCUAGGCGACGAUCUCUAGCUGGUCUGAGAGGAUGAUCAGCCACACUGGGACUGAGAACCGGCCCAGACUCCUACGGAGGCAGCAGUGGGGAAUAUUGCACAAUGGGCGCAAGCCUGAUGCAGCCAUGCCGCGUGUAUGAAGAAGGCCUUAGGGUUGUAAAGUACUUUCAGCGGGGAGGCGUUACCCGCAGAAGAAGCACCGGCUAACUCCGUGCCAGCAGCCGCGGUAAUUC